CGAGCAUAUGGGCCACCUGAUGGUAAGUGGUCACUAAACGCCCUUAGACAUUGGCAUUGUAAGAAAUGUCAACCAUCGCUUAUAGCCAAUGCGCCACCAACCUUGGGAACUAAGAUUUUAUGUCCCUUGUGCCUGUAAUUACACUGGCUCACUCACCCUUCAAACCGGAACACAACAAUAUCAAGUAUUGCUGUUUUGCGGUAGAAUAUCUGAUGAGUGGGUGGUACCUACCCAGACGAGCUUGCACAAAGCCCUACCACCAGUCUUCUUCACCAUUAACUGACGCCAUUCUUUUUGAAACACAAUGAAUAAAGUUUUGUGCACAAUAAUAGUGAAUAAGUAUUUCAUCGAAUAUUGAUUAAAUACAUAUUGAAAUCGUACACGAGUAUAUAUAUUUGAAAGCAUUCUACUUUGGUAAAAAUAGGGCUUAAUUUAAGGUAACUUGAUAAGUGGGAUUACUCUACUACAGUGUAUAGGAUGAUAAUGCACAAACAGGCUUUAUAAGUAACUACAGAGGCACAAUUUCACUAAAGUCGAGA